UUUGGUAGAACCGGGGUAAGCGUGUAGUAGGAGGACCAGGUAAAUCCGGGCCUCAUAAACUCUGAGACGUGAUACCGAGCCGCUUCAGGCGAAGUCAUUGAUCCUAUGCUGCCUAGAAAAGCCCAGCAGCGAGUUGACAUGGUGCCCGUACCCCAAACCAACACAGGUUGACAGGUAGAGCAUACCAAGGCGAGUGGGAUAACUAUGGUUAAGGAACUCGGCAAAUUGCCUCCGUAACUUCGGGAGAAGGAGGACCCCAGUAGCGUGAUGAGACUUGCUCUCUGAGCGUGAAGGGGUGGCACAAAAUUGAGGGAAGCGACUGUUUACCAAAAACACAGCAGCGUGCUAAGCCGUAAGGCGCUGUAUACGCUGUGACUCCUGCCCGGUGCUGGAAGGUUACGGGGAUGGGUUAGUCCUUCGGGACGAAGCUCUGAACCUAAGCCCCAGUAAACGGCGGCCGUAACUAUAACGGUCCUAAGGUAGCGAAAUUCCUUGUCGGGUAAGUUCCGACCUGCACGAAUGGAGUAACGACUUUCCUACUGUCUCAACCAUAGACCCAGCGAAAUUGAAGUACGAGUAAAGAUGCUCGUUAGCUGCAGAAGGACGGAAAGACCCCGUGGACCUUUACUAUAACUUGAUGUUGUGUUUUGUCAUAUGUUGUGUAGGAUAGGUGGGAGACUUGGAAGCAUGGACGCUAGUCUGUGUGGAGUCAUCGUUGAAAUACCACCCUGCAUAUGGUGAGGCUCUAACCUAGACCCGUUAUCCGGGUUGGGGACAGCGUCAGGCGGGUAGUUUAACUGGGGCGGUUGCCUCCUAAAGAGUAACGGAGGCGCCCAAAGGUUCCCUCAGCCUGGUUGGCAAUCAGGCGUUGAGUGCAAUGGCAAAAGGGAGCUUGACUGCGAGACCUACAAGUCGAGCAGGAGCGAAAGCUGGGCAUAGUGAUCCGGCGGUUGCGUGUGGAAGCGCCGUCGCUCAACGGAUAAAAGGUACCCCGGGGAUAACAGGCUAAUCUUGCCCAAGCGUCCAUAGCGACGGCAAGGUUUGGCACCUCGAUGUCGGCUCAUCGCAUCCUGGGGCUGAAGCAGGUCCCAAGGGUUGGGCUGUUCGCCCAUUAAAGCGGUACGCGAGCUGGGUUCAGAACGUCGUGAGACAGUUCGGUCCCUAUCCUCUGCAGCCGGAGGUGAAUUGAGGAAAGCUGUCCCUAGUACGAGAGGACCGGGACGGACGCAGCUCUCGUGUGCCAGUUGUCCUGCCAAGGGCAUGGCUGGUUAGCGACCUGCGGAAAGGAUAACCGCUGAAAGCAUCUAAGCGGGAAGCCUCUUCCAAGAUGAAUUCACCCACAGGGUUAACCUGGUAAGGCCCGUGGUAGACCACCACGUUGAUAGGCCGGAAGUGUAAGCGUGGCAACACGUUCAGCUGACCGGUACUAAUCGGCCGAGGGCUUGAGUU
rnacentral:rRNA from 1 species